GGGGGAGCAGCACCCGAGGCAGGGGGGGCAGCGAUGCCAGGACGCCUCCGGUGCUCGCUGGGGCUGCGGGGACAUCCAGCCCUUUGGCAGCACGGCUCCGGGCGCAGAGGAAGGAGGACGGCCGGGAGCAGGACACAGAACCUCCGGCAUCGAGGCCGAGGCCAGAUAGCGCACGUGAUGCCAACUGGCACCGGCUGGGCAUGAGGCGGGUCGCAUGAUGCCAGCCCUGGCACACAAACAGCUCGUCUGCCACGGCCCCCCCGGCCCAAGGAGGCAGAGACCCCCCGAGGAGCCGCAGAGACCCCCCCAGAGCGCCGAAGGCAGACGGAGACGUGCGAAGCCCCACAAAAAACUCCUGCCCCUGAAGCUAAAGGACGCAGGGAGCCGCCAGAACCACCGCCCCCGAGGAGCUGGCGGGACACGUCCCGGCCGAGCCGCUCCUUGUGCCCGGGAAGCGAGGGGACGCGCGGGCUCGGCCGGGUCCUGCGUGCUUCUGCGUGCCCGGGGACCUCGCGCUCGGCGCGCAGCAGGAGGAGAAGCAGAGAGCGGCCGCAGCCUCCAAAGCGGGACCGAGCCAAGCCCGAGCCCGUAUUUUCCCCGGGCGCCGAGCGGGGCCUCGCCGCUGGGCCAGCGCCCGACAUCCUCCCAGGAAACACAAACCGGGAGCUGAGUCAGAGAGCUGGAACACGCGCGGGGUUUGGCAAGGAAUCGCGGCGAGGCGCUCGCAGCCGCGCGCAGACACGGGCCGCCCGCCGCCGCACGUACGCACCUCAGCGGCGCAGGGCGGGCCGGAGACCCCCUCGGUCGGAAAGCAGCGGCGGUGGAGCCCUCCCCGUCCCCCGUCCUCCUGCAGCACGGGGCGAGAGCAAAGAGAAAAAGGCUGAACGCCGGCCUACGGCUGCGUGCUUCCCCCCCAGAUAUCGCUCCAACGUCACGCGGCGGCGGCGCGGCCCUCCUCUCCGCCGUCCCCGCCGCCUCCUGGGGCCGGGGGAAGGCCGGCGGGGGCCCGGCGGGGAGGGAGAGGAGGCAGGGCCCGCCACCGAAGCCACCGAGCCCUCCACCGAAGCCCCGAGCGCCGGCCGGCCUUACCACGUACUCCAUCGGCGGCGGAGGGCAGGGAAGGGAAAGGCAGAGCCCCUCUCGUCUGGCCGUCCCACCUGCGGUUCGGGGACAAACAGCGAGUUAGCCAGCCCGGCCCUGGGCCGCGGGGAGGUGGCCCCGGCUCCUUCGAGUCACCACGUCCCCGGCUGGAAGGGACCCGCGGGGGUCAGGGGGCCGGCUCCUCGCUGGCCGCAGGCGGACGGGGCUGCAACGCUGCCCAGGCGGGGGGCAGGGACCCGCGAGGCGUCCUCAGUCCUCACGGCCCCGUCCCGGGAUAACGGCACCACCGGGAUGCUCCGGGGCGCGAGGCCGAGCUGGGCACGGACCCGGCUCUGUUCAGGCCUCGUCCACCAGGAAAAGGAGUUGGGAGCCGCACGGGGCAGAUCCCAAACCAGAAGAGCCUCGGUUUCGGUGACUCUGUGCCGUGAGAUGAGCGCCGGAGCUGAUCCCCAAGGCCCUGAAGCUGCCGGGUCCCCAAAAAAGCACCAAGAGGGCCACAAGGACAGGCCCCCCCCCGUGCAGAGCAGCGCCCCAAUCCUGCCCACAUCACCCCCAGGGCUGGCACACGAAGCCCCCCAGGGCUGCAGCCCCGGGAGGGAGCGGAACGGGAGCCGGGGUUAGGAAGGAGCAGAAAAAGGAGCCCCGGGGAGCCGGGGGUGGGGGGGGAGCAGGAACGGCCCCGAGAGCCCCCGGUGGGGCGGAGCAGGGCAGCGCUUCCCGGAUUGACUUCCUCGAAGCCAUCGCGCCCUUAUCUAGGGCCGAGGCCGCGAGAUAAGCAGGGCGCAGCCACCCCCGCGGGGCUGCCGGUAACGGCACCGCCUCCCGGGGCCCCUGCGUGCCCCGCGGGGCAGGAACGGGGCUCGGGCAGCGGGGGCGAGAAGCGGCCCCAAAGCCGGCACCGGGAGCACCGGGCCUGGCGGGGAGGCUGCGGCACGGGGGGGACCUCCGGGGAGCCUCCCGGUUCCCCCGCCGUGCCCGUGGGCCCCCAAAAUGCUGUGAGGGGGGCACGGCCGCGGCCGCCCCGGUCCCAGCCCCGGGGGAACGGCGGCGCCUCGCGAGCCACGGGGGGAGCCGGGGUUCACCGGGUGAUCUCCCGCACACGGAACCGAGCGGUUUGAACCCAAAACGGGAAGGCGCCGGGUCACGAAGGCCGCGGGGGGAAGCGUCCACCGGGCCCGCACCGGACCCGCCCCCUGAGCCCCCCCCCAGAGCCCCGGGGCUGAGCCGGGCCGGGGGCACGCCACGGGACACGGGGGGGCCUCGGGGCCCGGGGUCGCCGGUUUGGGGCCCGGAGCGAACCCCCCGCGGGUCCCGGCAGCGCUGCCCGUGCCGGUGACUCCCGGCCUCGGCCUGCCCGCAGCACCGGGAGCCCCGGGACGCCCGGGACACGAGGGGGGGGGGCACGGAGGCGACCGGCGGGGCCGUCCCCAGCCCCUCCCCCGCCGCCGGUAGCACCGGGCGCGUAGCGGCACCGGGACCGGCACCGGGCCCAGCACCGGCCGCACUCCCCGCGGGGCACAGCCCGGUGGCGGGCGGCAGGGGGCGGAGCCCCCCCCUCAGCCACACGGCCCCGCCCGGUGCCUCCGGGGCCUCGCCCGUCCCGGGAGCCCUCCCGCGGCCUGCAACCGGCCACCGGGGAGCCCCCCACGGCCCGGUCCCGCGGGCUGCGCUCAC